UUAUAUUGGAGGAAUUCGAGGACAAGGCUUUGCUAUAUAUGUGGGGAGGUGAUCUCCAGCCAUUAUAACCACUAUUUUUGGCUGCAGAGUGGCUGAUGCUUGGGAGAGAUUGUUAUAUUGGAGGAAUUCAAGGACAAGGCUUUGCUAUAUAUGUGGGGAGGUGAUCUCCAGCCAUUAUAACCACUAUUUUUGGCUGCAGAGUGACUGAUGCUUGUAUCCUUUCUUUGUACUUGUCCUCUUUGCCGCUUGGAAACUCAGGGGAUGGCCUUUGGGGACUGCAAGCAAGGACGAGCAAUGCGACGGCGAUGAUACCGAAAAUGAUAAAAAGGCCUCCGAAGACAUAGGGAAUAGGAGAAUUCCAUGGCAAUAGACCACGACCGGGCGUCGAACUACCUGAUGUGCUCAUCUCUCUCUCUCUCUUUGCGCCUACACUAUUUUGUUGUGUCAAAGGACGUUGGUUAAUUUGGAUGAUCACAAAAAUGAUCAAUAUAUAUAUAUAUAUAUAUAUAUAUAUAUGUGUGUGUGUGUGUGUGUGUGUGUGUGUAUAUGAAUGAAAAUGGCCAGCAGAUGAGUUAGGCCAUGUUGGUUUUUUCUUUGUUAUUCAUCACAUUACUAAAACGCCCCUAGUUUGGCCGAAAGAUGCUUCUUUUCUAAAUUAUACUUGGUAAUUAAAAGAUAUCACAGCCUCAGCUUCAGAUUGUAUUAGCUACUGUCUAUUCUCUCAUGUGAUUCGUGAAACGGAAGGGCCAACUCCUUGGCUC
rnacentral:lncRNA from 1 species